CCAUUAAACUUAGUGAGUUCAUUACUAUACCACUUAAAUAAAUUACCAAUAAUUUUUUUUAAUGAUAGUGGAUCAGAAUAAAUUUCGGACAUGACCUAUCACUUCUCUCUGAAUAAUCAUUUAAUUUGCAAAUUGUCAUUCCUAAUUAUUCUGCAACUUACGUGUUGUCUUCAAAUAAUUUUCUGGUGAUCUUGAUAUAACCCCGAAUCACUGAGUCAUGACAGAAAAGGAAUAAGCCAACCGCUUUGGAUUCUGUAAGCACUAAAAUCUUUCGAAGUUAAGAAAGUUUGUGCUAGGUUUGAAGAAAAUUUUCGUUUUCUUUCUUUCAGAGUUCAGCCAACGAGAUAACAGAUAUCAGUAUAGGUGGCCAGUGCACUCCAAAGAAAAUGACUCCCAUCAAACAAUUACCCUUUAGCCCUUCCCAGUUUUUAAAUAGCCCCAACUUAUCUUUCGAUGUUCUAUCGUCGACUCCGGUGAAAAGUGGGAUGAUGACUUCCCACAAAUUGUGCGGGUGCAAAAGCCCAGAUGUUUUGGUUACCCCAAAUCCAACUCUACCCUUGCAACAAACCAAAAAACAACAAGCAGCCAAAAACGGUGAUGAGUCCCCCUGUGCAACCCCGAAACAUUCCCAUUCAAAUUUCACUCCACGAACCCCAACUCCUUUCAAGAAUGCGUUAGCAGAAAUGGAAAAAAUUGGUGCUAAGUACAUGGCGCAUACUCCAACAAGGCUGGUUGAAGACAUAAGGGAAAAUAAUUAAAAAGAAAAACUUAGUCAGUACGAUUCUAACUACGAGACUGAUAUGUCAAGCAUCGCUCAGCACGAAGAUAGUGGUUACAGCACCUUGAAAAGGAAGCUGGUCCUACUCCAUUCCGGGAAAGAGAACACAUUACCUCAUAAACGGGUUCGAAAAGCCCUGGCACCUAGCUGGAAUAGCCUGGGAAAUGGGGAUGACAUGGGGAUGAAAUCUGUACCAAGUGAAUCCUCCGUACUCUUUUCACCACCAUCCAUCACACGAGACACAUUAGUUGAGGAUCUUUUUGGGGAGCGGUUAAUGUCCAAUGCCUCUACAAUCUCCCCUGACGUCCCGUCGGUAUCAACAGUGCAGUCAAUAAAAAACCCUCCCCUUUGCGGAGCACCAACGAAACGCUCAGUCGUCAAACGCAUCGAAUUCUCUCCAUCAUCACCCGAAAGAAAGCCCAGUCAUCAAGACCGAGCCCGGUCACUAUUCAAGUUGGAUGUGAGGUGGGAAGAAAUCCUCUUUGGGAAGACAUUGGAUCAAGUUGCACUAACGAAGCAGGCUCAUCAGCUGGUGGAACACAGUAACAACAUCAGAAAAGAAACGUCAAGUGGUAGCGAUACGGAUAGUCUGGUCAGAAUACCUUUGACAAAUCAACAAAUUUAUAAUACCAUCCGUUCAUUUCACGCCUUUGAUCUUCUUUGCGACGAAGGGUCAAAAACGUAGCAUGAGAGCGCAUAGAAUGUUCCGUAACUUUAAUACUCAAUUGUGCAAAAAUUAUAUGUUUGCAAUAGCAAUUCAUUUUAAUUUCUCUCCUCAUCAUUAUUUAUUUAUAUAUUUAUUGAUUUCAUAUUUAUUAUUUGUGUUGGAACUUUGAAUUUUGCGUGAGCAUUAUUUUACAGAGUAUUUUUAAAUAUUAUUGUUUUAUUUUCAAAGAAGUCUGUAGCUUUUACUACGAUUUCCAUUAAUUUACGCUUUCUGUAAGGAGAUACAAUUUUAUAAUGAACAAAAAUUAUUGUUUGAAUUACUGUGCACUGAAAAGUGAUUACAUUAGAUCUAAUGUAACUUGAUUCGAACCACUUAGUGUAAUUUCCUAUCAAAACAUCAUGGCCUUUUACUACAAAACUUUUCCUCUUCCUUUGUGAUGAAGAUUAUUCCAAAUGAAUUUUUCAAUUUUCUCUAAGGAAUCAUCCCUCAGAGAUAUUUGUACCUUUUUCUAGUAAUCUAAAUGUGCUAGGAUAGGAUUUUUUCAUAAGCAAAUUUCAACCAAGAAAUUAAUAGUCAAAUAGUUCAAAAACCACCUUGUUAUCAUAAUAAUGCAUUAGAAUGCAUUCUUAUUUUAUGCUUAAAGAUUAAAAAUUAAUACUUUUAAGUUCUCCAAUUGUUUGUUGUUGCCAUUUCAUUAUGUUAAAAUUGUCUCUGGUUGAAAUCCAACUCUUGCUGCGUGAAAGAAAAGUAACUUUAGUAAAAAAAGUGAAUUCGUAUUUGAUGUAGUCCUCUGAAAGUCAGUCUUAUCCAUCUCUGUUUUAGAUCGAAAGUACAAACAAAUUUGACUUUAGAAUCUACGGACAAAGUUUUCCUCCAGACAACUGUGUUCUAAUUGAAGCAAAUGGCUUCAUGUAUUGUAACUUCUUUCAUAAUUAUUUCAUUAUAUCCUGGGAAUCAACCGAGUUAAUUAUUUGAAGCUAUUUUGCUGGAUUGGGACAUCGCAGCACUUGAUAAUUUUUAAAGCUUCAUAACUUCACAUACUCAAUAGCACAGAUGUUUUUUGUCUUUCUUCCCUCUGUUUUUUCACCAAAAUAUGGAAUGAUAUCGAAGGAUAAACAAUUUUGGUCACAAUUGAAAUGUUUUCAUUAUCAAAUGAUGGUAUGCAAACUCAGGUAAUAAACUUCUUAUAGUCUGUGAAACUAAGAUUUUUGUUUUUCAUAUUUUUUAACUUUAUUGCAACCGAUAAAUUCUUUUUCAGCCCUAUGUAUGUUUUGAAUGCCACUUUUUAUCUCAGCAUGUUUACUUGUUGGCAUGUGGAAAAUGUCUGUAUUUAUUUAUAUAAAUGAAAAAAUACUGUCUAUUGACUCAAUUAUAACUCUCAAUUAAUUUUAAUUACCUCUUUCCAACGCUUUCAGCUAUGGUCAGUUUUAUGACCACUAUAUCAAAAGUUUUUUUACAAUUUUUUCUCUUCGAUUCUUGCCAUCAUUUGAAGUAGCAGAGGAGUCUUUCUGCCGAAGGAAAUUUUACAUAGAAAGAUUUUAAUGGGCUACCAGACAAGGUCGUAGCUAGCAAAAAAGUACCAAGUCUCUCUUCAAAAUCUUAAACAGAAAACAAUUUACACAAAAAUUAGAUAGGAUAUCAACUCCUGAGAGAGGUAUCAUCAAUAUUUUAUCAUAGAAUUCAUACUUUGUCUAGAGCCCAUUCGAAGCAUAAUAAUUUUGGCUGCAUUCCACCAAACCAAUAUUAUCGCUUGUAAAGUGUAUCAGGGCCCUGUAAGGAGAAACUUUAUUUUUACCAAAUCAUAAUAUUGUAUAUGCUGUAAUCAGUUGAGUAGCUUGUAACUUUUAGAUUUAAAGAACCUCAUAGUGUGUGUAUAUCUUGUACUGUAUAAACUCUCAAAAUAUCACUUGUACAAUUAGCCUAGAUGUAGCUAUUUAAAUCCAACAAUUUUUGUAAAAACAGCCUAAAAGAAAACAAUUCUGAAUAGUAACUUUAUUUUGUAUUUUCACGGGGUAUGAAUGGAAACCCAAAGAAGGAGAAAGAAAUAUAGUUGUUUUAUCUCACAAUUACUCUGAUAAAUUUACACUCAAGUUGACCUGUCCUUGACCUCUUUUCUUGUUUUUAAAGAUUUUGCAAAAGCUGAAUGAAGCAGAAAGGAAGUAAACCGAUAUUUUGCUGAAGGGACCAUUCACCAUAUUCUACUUGAAAUUCUACGAGAAAAACUGGGAGAAUUGUGCCAUUCGGCAAGCGCUCAAUCUUUGGAGCCCAAAAAAGUAUGUGUCUAAAAAAUAUCCAUUGACACAGGGCUCAAAAGAUUGAAUGCAAGCUGAAUAGUCCUCUUUUUUCAUUUUCUUGAGAUGGAUUUUGGUGCUUUUUGGAUUUUGGGUCCUGAAGAAAAUUUAGGUUCAAUUGACAGAACUACAGAAGGCUGAGAGUCUAAAUCUUGAUUAUUAGUUUUGUACACUAUUCUGUGUACAGAAGUAUGCUCAAGCUCUGACUUUGAUGAAAAGUCGACUUUUUUAUUUGAAAAUUUGUUUUCUUUUCAUUUGAAUUUUCAUUCAUGCAUCAUUGGUUUCAGUUGCAUCUUUUCUUAGAAGAUAAUGAAAUGGAAAUUUAGUCAUCUUUUUCUCUUUUUCAGCCUGACUAUUUUAUGACCAGUCUGAAUGUUAGGAACAAAUUGAACUAUAUUCUUUUUGUUUUUAUGACGCUCAAUUAUUCUAUUUUGUAACUUAUUUUUAACUCGAUGAGGAAGGAUAUAGCUGCAGGUCAACAUAAAGCCAAUCCAUGGUUACAUUCAGGAUUUGUUGUUUCAGAUUUUUCGCAACAAUAAAAUAGGUCAAUCUGAAAUCCAUUAUCUGCUUUUGAGAAAAUUUUUCCUUGAAGCCUCAUUACUGUAACUGUAACAGUGCAAUAUUUCCUAGAGUCAGUUACUAAACAAUCCUUGUAAAAGAAUGAAAAACAAGUUUUCUUUUUUCCCACUGCUUACUUCGGUUCUACUUUAUCGAUCACUGAUUUUAAGUACUACCGGUCCAUUAUCCUUCGCCUGUAGAAUCCGUUUUUCCAGAAUGGAAUUUUUACUCACCCGUGAGUAAAUCCUCGUGUUACUUACUUUUGUGGUUUUUUUUUUUUUGGUUUUCAAUUUUUAUUUUGCGUGUUUUUUGUUGUCAAUGUUAAAAUAUUUUAUUGUGUAAUAAUUUUACCCAUAAUCUUCUGUAACCUCUAAAUUUGUAAUCAACUGCUCUCGGUGACUUCAAUAGCAUUGAUGCUCAAUGUACAAUAAAUGUCUAAUUAUUUCAUUAUUUUAUUGUAACAUAUUCAUUUUUUUUCUUUGCACGAUUUUAAUUUGAAUUAUUGCAAAGGAGGCAGUUCCCCAAAACAAACUGAAGAGUGGGCAUGUCAAGUGCAUGUAUUUCAAUUGAUUCUAUUUUUAAAUGUAUCCAAGACGGUGGUUAUUUGGUGUCUCGUUCCAAAAUCUGUCCGGCAAUACUAGUAUCGAAACUCUAAAAACAUGGAUCUGAAUGCGCCACAUCUUAAAUUCUCAGGCUUACUUUACUUUUUAAAAGUAAAAACUAAUUAAAAUUCUAUCAAUGGCCAAAGUCCAAAAAUGCGUAUCCUAGAUUGUGAUGUUAUAAGUCUCUGCUCACGAUUCAAUUUUCAAAAAGAAACCAACCAGCAGUUUCUGUUGAAAUUUUCUUUUCUCACUUAAAAAAAAAUCACAGUAAAAUGCAAGGAAUAAGUUUAUUUGUUUUCUUUGAAAAAAUACACGACUUAUCGGAGAUUUUUAAAUGUUGCAGUUGUGAAACGUAUUUUUGGCAUUAGUCAUCGAUAUCUUGAAAGUUUCUGUGAUGUUCUCUUGUUUCUCCAAGCCCAUUUUGUAAAACUUUAAGAAAUGGAAUUUUCUUUCUUUUUUUAAAAAAUGAAGUAGUGAAUAAAUUUCUUUUAAUAUAUCAUGCCUGCUAUCUUGAGCCCAAUGUUUAGUUUUUCAAAUGGUAAAUUUUCUGCCUCUCAUUUGUAUUCUACCACUUGAUUUUUCCUAUGCUGUACUUAACUUUUAAAUCAGACGCAAAGGUACGAAUCAAUUUAAUAUUUUGAAAAUGUUUAUGUUCCUUCGGAUGUCAUCUGUUAUAAUUAUCAUCUUGUCUGCAAAGUACAAAAGAUUCAUCACAUUUUCUCCUUUACCAAUCUCAUCUCUCAAAAUUUGUGUCUUUGUAUUAUUAUUGCUAAUUAAAUUAGUCUCAAACUUUUGCAGUGAAUAUUGCGUAUUAUUGCCUGAAAUUCGCCUCGUAACAACCCUCCAUUGAUUAAUACAAUCUAUUUCUAAAGGAGAAUUCAUUAAUUAUCGCAUUAAAUGAACAUUUGUUCACGUGCCAAAAGAUUCUAGCGAUUCUUCUGGAGUUUUCAGUUUUGAGCGUUGACUGUUCAGGUCUCUUUUUGCAGGGAAGAUAUUACAUAAGCUUGUUCCGUAGUUUUAAAGCUUGCAUUUUUGAAAAGUAGAUAGUGCACAUAAUUCACAGGAAUUUUCCCCAACUCUCUACAAUACAUAUCGACGGUGAAACUACCAAACCACGUAUCUCGGUUUGCGACGUCGCAGACUUCCUGUCAUACUUUAUUUUUUAAAU
rnacentral:lncRNA from 1 species